CAUCUAAGCGGGAAGCCCGCCCCAAGAUGAGGCCCCCCACCGGCUUAGCCGGGUAAGGCCCCUGGGAGACUACCAGGUUGAUAGGCCGCAGGUGGAAGCCCGGCAACGGGUGAAGCCGAGCGGUACUAAUGGCCGAGGGCUUGACUCU
rnacentral:rRNA from 1 species